GGGGAAUUUUCCGCAAUGGGCGAAAGCCUGACGGAGCAAUACCGCGUGAGGGAGGAAGGCUCUUGGGUCGUAAACCUCUUUUCUCAGGGAAGAACACAAUGACGGUACCUGAGGAAUAAGCAUCGGCUAACUCCGUGCCAGCAGCCGCGGUAAUACGGAGGAUGCAAGCGUUAUCCGGAAUGAUUGGGCGUAAAGCGUCCGCAGGUGGCAAUGUAAGUCUGCUGUUAAAGAGUGAGGCUCAACCUCAUAAGAGCAGUGGAAACUACAUAGCUAGAGUACGUUCGGGGCAGAGGGAAUUCCUGGUGUAGCGGUGAAAUGCGUAGAGAUCAGGAAGAACACCGGUGACGAAGGCGCUCUGCUAGGCCGUAACUGACACUGAGGGACGAAAGCUAGGGGAGCGAAUGGGAUUA
rnacentral:rRNA from 1 species